GACGAACGCUGGCGGCGUGCCUAAUACAUGCAAGUCGUACGCAUCUUUUUCACCGGAGCUUGCUCCACCGAAAAAGAUGAGUGGCGAACGGGUGAGUAACACGUGGGUAACCUGCCCAUCAGAAGGGGAUAACACUUGGAAGCAGGUGCUAAUACCGUAUAAUAGUUUGACCCGCAUGGGUUGAAUUUGAAAGGCGCUUUUGCGUCACUGAUGGAUGGACCCGCGGCGUAUUAGCUAGUUGGUGAGGUAAUGGCUCACCAAGGCAACGAUACGUAGCCGACCUGAGAGGGUGAUCGGCCACAUUGGGACUGAGACACGGCCCAAACUCCUACGGGAGGCAGCAGUAGGGAAUCUUCGGCAAUGGACGAAAGUCUGACCGAGCAACGCCGCGUGAGUGAAGAAGGUUUUCGGAUCGUAAAACUCUGUUGGUAAAGAAGAACAAGGGUGAGAGUAAAAAGUUCACUCCUUGACGGUAUUUACCCAGAAAGCCACGGCUAACUACGUGCCAGCCGCCGCGGUAA
rnacentral:rRNA from 1 species